CAAGCGAGGCUUGAGUGGUGAAAUGACGCUCGAACAGGCAUGCCCCCCGGAAUACCAGGGGGCGCAAUGUGCGUUCAAAGAUUCGAUGAUUCACUGAAUUCUGCAAUUCACAUUACUUAUCGCAUUUCGCUGCGUUCUUCAUCGAUGCCAGAACCAAG
rnacentral:rRNA from 1 species